UACGUAGGGUGCAAGCGUUGUCCGGAAUUAUUGGGCGUAAAGGGCUCGUAGGCGGUCCGUCACGUCGGGAGUGAAAACUUGGGGCUUAACCCCAAGCCUGCUUCCGAUACGGGCGGACUAGAGGUAGGCAGGGGAGAACGGAAUUCCUGAUGUAGCGGUGAAAUGCGCAGAUAUCAGGAGGAACACCGGUGGCGAAGGCGGAUCUCUGGGCCUUACCUGACGCUGAGGCGCGAAAGCUAGGGGAGCGAACAGG
rnacentral:rRNA from 1 species